AAAACAACAAAAAAAC
rnacentral:sRNA from 1 species